ACAUUAGCUCAGUCGGCAGAGCGCAGGUCUCAUAAUCUCCAACGCAGAAGUAAUCCUGAGGUCGCGAGUUCAAGUCCGCCAAUGAACUCCUCGCAUGUG